CCCCUCUCAGUUUCACACCUGGAGAGUUUCCAGUACUCUACCAGUCUCAGUUACAGGAGAGAGAGUCAAGCAGAGGCCUACCCUUUCUGUUUCUAGCUUGGGCCGUGGCUAGCAAGUGGAAGGCAAUCUGCUACAAGU